rnacentral:rRNA from 1 species
GGCGAACGCUGGCGGCAGGCUUAACACAUGCAAGUCGAGCGGGCGUAGCAAUACGUCAGCGGCAGACGGGUGAGUAACGCGUGGGAACGUACCUUUUGGUCGGAACAACCCAGGGAAACUUGGGCUAAUACCGGAUACGCCCUACGGGGGAAAGCGGGGGACUUUCGGGCCUCGCGCUAUCAGAUGAGCCUAAGUCCGAUUAGCUAGUUGGUAGGGUAACGGCCUACCAAGGCGACGAUCGGUAGCUGGUCNGAGAGGACGACCAGCCACACUGGGACUGAGACACGGCCCAGACUCCUACGGGAGGCAGCAGUGGGGAAUAUUGGACAAUGGGCGAAAGCCUGAUCCAGCGAUGCCGCGUGUGUGAAGAAGGCCUGCGGGUUGUAAAGCACUUUCAGCAGGGAAGAAAAGACGAAUGACCAAUACCAUUCGGUCUUGACGUUACCUGAAGAAGAAGCACCGGCUAACUCCGUGCCAGC